rnacentral:piRNA from 1 species
GGGUCAUAGGUGUAUAUUGGCGAAGUGU